rnacentral:lncRNA from 1 species
UGAACUGAAAUCGUUAGACAAAUAUGUCUUAUAUUCCGUGAAGACGAUAUCAUACAAGAUCAAAGUUUUUUUAAUACAUAAUAUUGAUGAAAUUCAAACACUUACCAUGUUUACUCGUGGGUUUUUUCGGAUAGCAACCGUAAAAGUUUCGGAUAGCAACAGUGGACGCGUUUUUUUUUCCAAAUAGCAACCGUCAACGUACUACACCGUGUAGGAUGGAGCAGCCCAAAGAAACGUCAACAGGCGCAGGUAAUUUGUGUAUAUAUAUAAUAAAACUGGUCUUACGGAAUACUAUAGAUAUUAUCAACGAAUACUGUCUACCCCUAACAAGGAAAAUAGGUCUCGUCUUUGAAAGCGAGAUGAAUAAAUUAGAUCACACAUGCCAAAUACCCGUUAUCGUUUGCACUGAUUUAUUCAUUUUUAACGAAAAACUAAUUGUUUUGAAUGAAAUAAAGAUUUCAAAAGGGGCA